GAUGAACGCUGGCGGCGUGCCUAAUACAUGCAAGUCGAGCGAACAGAUAAGGAGCUUGCUCCUUUGACGUUAGCGGCGGACGGGUGAGUAACACGUGGGUAACCUACCUAUAAGACUGGGAUAACUUCGGGAAACCGGAGCUAAUACCGGAUAACAUUUGGAACCGCAUGGUUCUAAAGUGAAAGAUGGUUUUGCUAUCACUUAUAGAUGGACCCGCGCCGUAUUAGCUAGUUGGUAAGGUAACGGCUUACCAAGGCGACGAUACGUAGCCGACCUGAGAGGGUGAUCGGCCACACUGGAACUGAGACACGGUCCAGACUCCUACGGGAGGCAGCAGUAGGGAAUCUUCCGCAAUGGGCGAAAGCCUGACGGAGCAACGCCGCGUGAGUGAUGAAGGGUUUCGGCUCGUAAAACUCUGUUAUUAGGGAAGAACAAAUGUGUAAGUAACUGUGCACGUCUUGACGGUACCUAAUCAGAAAGCCACGGCGAACUACGU
rnacentral:rRNA from 1 species